rnacentral:lncRNA from 1 species
UGGCAAGUCACGACAACGGACACCACUCUACUCUUCGGGCUCCACCACUCUCUGGCAGGUCGCUAUAAUGGACACCACUCUACUCUCCAUAACAAACUCCACAUGGCCCUGAACGGCCCCUGACGCCACUACUCUCCGUAACAAACUCCGCGUGGCUCUGAACGGCCCACUACCAGGUGGUUACAGACGUCACUAUCAAUCAAUUACGCUCUCCAUCUAUAAAAAGGGACCCCUAGAUACGUUCUUC